GUUACGGUCCAUGGGGUUGCCAAAGAGUCAGACACAACUUAGUGAUUAAACGAUAGCAACAAGUCCCACUUUGCAUUGUAUUGGAAUCACUGUUGUGUCUACUGGUAAAAGUAUUUCUUCAUGUAUUCUCUACAUUAUCCUUAGACAAUGUUUUUGAUAUUAGGUUUGACUUUCAGAAUAUGCUGACAUUUGAUUAUAAUUUAUGGUCUGGAUAUUAGAGGAGGGGAGCAUGAGAAAAAAUAACACUCUUGCAAGAUAACUACAUCAGACAAGAUCUUCAAACAGGGAGGAACUUUCUCCUGGAAAAAAAAUUUGGGCUGUCUACUUUGAGAGCUCUCACAGACAGGACUUCACGAGCCCCUUCGGAGCUUCCUUCAUGGACCACUUCCACCUCACUCCCAUUGCUGUGGACAAAGCUGCAUCCUGUUUCAGUUUUUGUUCUCAUUUUGGCCCACUGUGUUUUCUGGUGAAUAUCUGCUUUGGUGUUCUCUUGUUUUCAUAUUACUUCAUAUGUCCAGUUACUUCGCUUGGCUUCCUUCUUCACAGAUGCACAGAUUCACUGUACAGAUCUCUAAAACUCUUGGAAUAUCCUGUGAUGAGGGUGAUCAAGACAUCUCUUGCUGUGUUAAUGAGGUAUGGACUACACCUAAGGAUGGAGGCUGGUUUCCAGAGCCAACCAUGUGAUUAGAGGGUUGGAACUUUCAGUCCCACAACCCUGACCUCCAGGGAGGGGAGGAGGGCUAGAGGUUGGAUCAAUCACCAGUGGCCAAUGAUUUAAUCAACCAUAGGCAUGUAAUGAGACUUCCAUAAAAACCCAAAAGGAUGGGGUUCAGAGAGCUUCUGAUUGUGUAAAAAUGUAGAAAUUCAGGGACAGUGGUGGGCAAGAAUAUGUGGAAGUUCAGCAAGGGCAUGUAAACUGUGCCCUUUCCCUAUGCCUUGCCAUGUUCAUCUCUUCUGCCUGGCUGUUCCUGAGUUAUAUCGUUUUAUAAUAAACCAGUAAUCCAGUAAGUAAAA